AUACUCACGGGAGGAGGAAACAAACUCACCUUUGGGACAGGCACUCAGCUAAAAGUGGAACUCA